ncrna:unclassified sequences Glutamine riboswitch
UUCGUUCAUCCCGUAAGGGACGGAAGUAGGUGAUAAUACCGAAGGAACGCAUC